ACGCCUCAUCAGGUGUGCAUUUAGAGUGCACUAUGGUUGUACCCAUAGCAUUUCCCAUUUUCCUUUACCCUACACCUAGUCAAUUCAAAUGCAACGCCUCAUCAGGUUUGCAUUUGGAGUGCACUAUGGUUGUACCCAUAGCAUUUCCCAUUUUCCUUUACCUUAGGAGCAAAUUUCUUUCUUGUAACUCUUCAUCUUAUCUUUCUGGUUCCUUCCGAUCUUGUUUCCCCUCAUGAUUGAGACUCC
rnacentral:lncRNA from 1 species